UACGUAGGGGGCAAGCGUUGUCCGGAUUUAUUGGGCGUAAAGAGCGUGUAGGCGGCCUGGAAGGUCAGCUGUGAAAACUCGAGGCUCAACCUCGAGACGUCGGUUGAAACCACCUGGCUAGAGUCCGGAAGAGGAGAGUGGAAUUCCCGGUGUAGCGGUGAAAUGCGUAGAUAUCGUAAGGAAGACCAGUGGCGAAGGCGGGUCUCUGGACAGUUCCUGACGCUGAGGCACGAAGGU
rnacentral:rRNA from 1 species